rnacentral:rRNA from 1 species
GUAUAAGAGACAGCAGCAGCCACGGGAAUACGGAGGGUGCAAGCGUUAUCCGGAUUCACUGGGUUUAAAGGGUGCGUAGGCGGAUCUGUAAGUCAGUGGUGAAAUCUCCAGGCUUAACCUGGAAACUGCCGUUGAUACUAUAGGUCUUGAAUUUUGUGGAGGUUAGCGGAAUAUGUCAUGUAGCGGUGAAAUGCAUAGAUAUGACAUAGAACACCAAUUGCGAAGGCAGCUGGCUACACAACUAUUGACGCUGAGGCACGAAAGCGUGGGGAUCAAACAGGAUUAGAUACCCCCGUAGUCCCUGUCUCUUAUAC